AUGAACGCUAGCUACAGGCUUAACACAUGCAAGUCGAGGGGCUUCAGGAAGAAAGCUUGCUUUCUUUGCUGGCGACCGGCGCACGGGUGAGUAACACGUAUCCAACCUGCCCUUUACUCGGGGAUAGCCUUUCGAAAGAAAGAUUAAUACCCGAUGGCAUAAUGAUUCCGCAUGGUUUCAUUAUUAAAGGAUUCCGGUAAAGGAUGGGGAUGCGUUCCAUUAGGUUGUUGGUGAGGUAACGGCUGACCAAGCCUUCGAUGGAUAGGGGUUCUGAGAGGAAGGUCCCCCACAUUGGAACUGAGACACGGUCCAAACUCCUACGGGAGGCAGCAGUGAGGAAUAUUGGUCAAUGGGCGCUAGCCUGAACCAGCCAAGUAGCGUGAAGGAUGAAGGCUCUAUGGGUCGUAAACUUCUUUUAUAUAAGAAUAAAGUGCAGUAUGUAUACUGUUUUGUAUGUAUUAUAUGAAUAAGGAUCGGCUAACUCCGUGCCAGCAGCCGCGGUAAUACGGAGGAUCCGAGCGUUAUCCGGAUUUAUUGGGUUUAAAGGGAGCGUAGGUGGACUGGUAAGUCAGUUGUGAAAGUUUGCGGCUCAACCGUAAAAUUGCAGUUGAUACUGUCAGUCUUGAGUACAGUAGAGGUGGGCGGAAUUCGUGGUGUAGCGGUGAAAUGCUUAGAUAUCACGAAGAACUCCGAUUGCGAAGGCAGCUCACUGGACUGCAACUGACACUGAUGCUCGAAAGUGUGGGUAUCAAACAGGAUUAGAUACCCUGGUAGUCCACACAGUAAACGAUGAAUACUCGCUGUUUGCGAUAUACAGUAAGCGGCCAAGCGAAAGCAUUAAGUAUUCCACCUGGGGAGUACGCCGGCAACGGUGAAACUCAAAGGAAUUGACGGGGGCCCGCACAAGCGGAGGAACAUGUGGUUUAAUUCGAUGAUACGCGAGGAACCUUACCCGGGCUUAAAUUGCAGUGGAAUGAUGUGGAAACAUGUCAGUGAGCAAUCACCGCUGUGAAGGUGCUGCAUGGUUGUCGUCAGCUCGUGCCGUGAGGUGUCGGCUUAAGUGCCAUAACGAGCGCAACCCUUAUCUUUAGUUACUAACAGGUUAUGCUGAGGACUCUAGAGAGACUGCCGUCGUAAGAUGUGAGGAAGGUGGGGAUGACGUCAAAUCAGCACGGCCCUUACGUCCGGGGCUACACACGUGUUACAAUGGGGGGUACAGAAGGCAGCUAGCGGGUGACCGUAUGCUAAUCCCAAAAGCCUCUCUCAGUUCGGAUCGAAGUCUGCAACCCGACUUCGUGAAGCUGGAUUCGCUAGUAAUCGCGCAUCAGCCACGGCGCGGUGAAUACGUUCCCGGGCCUUGUACACACCGCCCGUCAAGCCAUGGGAGCCGGGGGUACCUGAAGUACGUAACCGCAAGGAUCGUCCUAGGGUA
rnacentral:rRNA from 1 species